rnacentral:tRNA from 1 species
GGGGAUUUGGCUCAGUGGUAGAGCGCUUGCCUAGCAAGCACAAGGCCCUGGGUUCAAUCCUCAGCUCCG